rnacentral:rRNA from 1 species
GACGGAGGAUGCAAGUGUUAUCCGGAAUCACUGGGCGUAAAGCGUCUGUAGGUGGUUUAAAAAGUCCACUGUUAAAGAUUGAAGCUUAACUUCAAAAAUGCCGUGGAAACUUUUAAACUUGAGUAUGAUAGGGGUAGAGGGAAUUUCCAGUGGAGCGGUGAAAUGCGUAGAUAUUGGAAAGACCACCAAUGGCGAAGGCAACUCUAGCUGGGCCAUUACUGACACUGAGAGACGAAAGCUAGGGGACGCAAAUGGG